GCCCUGCGCCUGCGCGGGCGUCCCGUGCGCCGGGUCGGGGUCAGCGCAAGAUGGCGGUGGCGGCGACCUUCCGCCGGCUGCUGGCUCUGCCCGGUGCCGCUCGGGGCUUUGGCGUACGAGUGUCCCCGAGCGGGGAGAAGAUCACGCACACGGGCCAGGUUUAUGAUGAUAAAGACUACAGGAGGAUUCGGUUCGUAGGUCGUCAGAAAGAGGUGAAUGAGAGCUUUGCCAUUGAUUUGAUAGCAGAGCAGCCCGUGAGUCAGGUGGACCAUCGGAUCAUAGCCUGUGACGGCGGGGGCGGUGCCCUGGGUCACCCCAAGGUGUACAUAAACUUGGUAUGGAGCACCAGUCCACGCCCCUAAGCAGUUGCUGGGUCUCAGUGCUCAGCUUCUCUCCCAGCCAUCUGUUCUCGCUGCCAUCUCCUGCCGUGCUCUCGAGGACAAAGAAACAAAAACGGGGACGUGCGGCUACUGCGGCCUGCAGUUCAAGCAGCACCAUCACUAGUGUGGGCCAUGCACCGGCCCGCCACCAUCUGUGAGCAUCUCCAUGCUAGGCGUACGGGGUGAAGUUGCUGCUCCAUGUGAAAGGCGCCCCUCAUUAGGAAUAAAGGACACCACCACUGUGCACAA